AUUGAACGCUGGCGGAAUGCUUUACACAUGCAAGUCGAACGGCAGCACGGGGGCAGCCCUGGUGGCGAGUGGCGAACGGGUGAGUAAUACAUCGGAACGUGCCCGGUCGUGGGGGAUAACGUAGCGAAAGUUACGCUAAUACCGCAUACGAUCUGAGGAUGAAAGCGGGGGACCUUCGGGCCUCGCGCGAUCGGAGCGGCCGAUGUCAGAUUAGGUAGUUGGGGGGGUAAAGGCCUACCAAGCCGACGAUCGGUAGCUGGUCUGAGAGGACGACCAGCCACACUGGGACUGAGACACGGCCCAGACUCCUACGGGAGGCAGCAGUGGGGAAUUUUGGACAAUGGGCGCAAGCCUGAUCCAGCCAUUCCGCGUGCAGGACGAAGGCCUUCGGGUUGUAAACUGCCUUUGUACGGAACGAAAAGGCUCUGGCUAAUACCUGGGGCUCAUGACGGUACCGUAAGAAUAAGCACCGGCUAACUACGUG
rnacentral:rRNA from 1 species